GGUUAAGCGACUAAGCGUACACGGUGGAUGCCCUGGCAGUCAGAGGCGAUGAAGGACGUGCUAAUCUGCGAUAAGCGUCGGUAAGGUGAUAUGAACCGUUAUAACCGGCGAUUUCCGAAUGGGGAAACCCAGUGUGAUUCGUCACACUAUCGUUAACUGAAUACAUAGGUUAACGAAGCGAACCGGGGGAACUGAAACAUCUAAGUACCCCGAGGAAAAGAAAUCAACCGAGAUUCCCCCAGUAGCGGCGAGCGAACGGGGAGGAGCCCAGAGCCUGAAUCAGCAUGUGUGUUAGUGGAAGCGUCUGGAAAGGCGCGCGAUACAGGGUGACAGCCCCGUACACAAAAGCGCAUGUGCUGUGAGCUCGAUGAGUAGGGCGGGACACGUGGUAUCCUGUCUGAAUAUGGGGGGACCAUCCUCCAAGGCUAAAUACUCCUGACUGACCGAUAGUGAACCAGUACCGUGAGGGAAAGGCGAAAAGAACCCCGGCGAGGGGAGUGAAAAAGAACCUGAAACCGUGUACGUACAAGCAGUGGGAGCCCCACCACCAAAGCAUUCUCUGGUGUUGAAGGCCCUGCAAAGCAGCAUCGCGGUGGCGGAGCGUCGUUUGCGACGCCCAACACACAAAACAAGCGGUGAGUGCUUUGGGGUGGGGUGACUGCGUACCUUUUGUAUAAUGGGUCAGCGACUUAUAUUCUGUAGCAAGGUUAACCGUAUAGGGGAGCCGAAGGGAAACCGAGUCUUAACUGGGCGUUAAGUUGCAGGGUAUAGACCCGAAACCCGGUGAUCUAGCCAUGGGCAGGUUGAAGGUUGGGUAACACUAACUGGAGGACCGAACCGACUAAUGUUGAAAAAUUAGCGGAUGACUUGUGGCUGGGGGUGAAAGGCCAAUCAAACCGGGAGAUAGCUGGUUCUCCCCGAAAGCUAUUUAGGUAGCGCCUCGUGAACUCAUCUUCGGGGGUAGAGCACUGUUUCGGCUAGGGGGUCAUCCCGACUUACCAACCCGAUGCAAACUGCGAAUACCGAAGAAUGUUAUCACGGGAGACACACGGCGGGUGCUAACGUCCGUCGUGAAGAGGGAAACAACCCAGACCGCCAGCUAAGGUCCCAAAGUCACAGUUAAGUGGGAAACGAUGUGGGAAGGCUCAGACAGCCAGGAUGUUGGCUUAGAAGCAGCCAUCAUUUAAAGAAAGCGUAAUAGCUCACUGGUCGAGUCGGCCUGCGCGGAAGAUGUAACGGGGCUAAACUGUGCACCGAAGCUGCGGCAGCGACGCUUAUGCGUUGUUGGGUAGGGGAGCGUUCUGUAAGCCUGCGAAGGUGUCCUGUGAGGGAUGCUGGAGGUAUCAGAAGUGCGAAUGCUGACAUAAGUAACGAUAAUGCGGGUGAAAAGCCCGCUCGCCGGAAGACCAAGGGUUCCUGUCCAACGUUAAUCGGGGCAGGGUGAGUCGACCCCUAAGGCGAGGCCGAAAGGCGUAGUCGAUGGGAAACGGGUUAAUAUUCCCGUACUUGGUGUUACUGCGAAGGGGGGACGGAGAAGGCUAUGUUGGCCGGGCGACGGUUGUCCCGGUUUAAGCGUGUAGGCUGGUUUUCCAGGCAAAUCCGGAAAAUCAAGGCUGAGGCGUGAUGACGAGGCACUACGGUGCUGAAGCAACAAAUGCCCUGCUUCCAGGAAAAGCCUCUAAGCAUCAGGUAACAUCAAAUCGUACCCCAAACCGACACAGGUGGUCAGGUAGAGAAUACCAAGGCGCUUGAGAGAACUCGGGUGAAGGAACUAGGCAAAAUGGUGCCGUAACUUCGGGAGAAGGCACGCUGACACGUAGGUGAAGUGAUUUACUCAUGGAGCUGAAGUCAGUCGAAGAUACCAGCUGGCUGCAACUGUUUAUUAAAAACACAGCACUGUGCAAACACGAAAGUGGACGUAUACGGUGUGACGCCUGCCCGGUGCCGGAAGGUUAAUUGAUGGGGUCAGCGCAAGCGAAGCUCCUGAUCGAAGCCCCGGUAAACGGCGGCCGUAACUAUAACGGUCCUAAGGUAGCGAAAUUCCUUGUCGGGUAAGUUCCGACCUGCACGAAUGGCGUAAUGAUGGCCAGGCUGUCUCCACCCGAGACU
rnacentral:rRNA from 1 species